ensembl:lncRNA
UCUUAAGGAUGCUCUGGGAAAUUGAUUUUAACAAUCUACUAAAGAGAGGAAUCAUCCCAAUACCCACCACAGGCAGUGACACAGAUAUACUUUCAGCAGCAAAAAGGGAAACCAAAUCCCGAACAGUGGCCACUCCAGCUACAGCCCAGAGAAAUGAACUGACAGCUAUGGGAAGAGGAUGUCCAAACCGAUGUGCCUGCUGGAACUGAAUGGAGCACCUUGUGGAGUGAUGGUAACAAACCAACUACAAGCCGCCUGGGGUUUACGAGGACCAGCUGUUCACACGAAAGGAGAGGAAUCAAAUAAAAUACUGAAAAGGGAAGGAGGGAAAUAGGGGGAACAUGCCACGGUAAGGCCGAGGCCAUGUCACGAGAGGACGAGAUCCCUGGGUUUGUGUCUGUGGACCUUGGAGGUGUUCUGCCUCCAGAUCCUCCAGCCAGCCUGUGGAAAUGCCUUCAGUCAAAAAAGGAACUCCUGAAAUUACAAGGCUUUAUGAAGAGGUUCCGUUUCCAAGGGCUGCUCGGAUUUUCUAAGACUUCUCCCAGUUAGCCGGGGGAGAGACGGCGGACAGGCAGAACACCACCCUGCUCCUGGUGGAAAGAAUGGGGAAGAUGACACAGCAAGUUUGAAGUUAAACGAUGAUCAGAACUUGGACACAGAAUCUUCCUUUAGUUUUCUUCCCGUGAAGAGGAGAUGUGAGCUGUAACCUGUAGCAGGAAGUGGCACCUGGCUGCUGAAAACACUGAGAUGACAGUGAAUCUGGAAGCCCAUGCUCCCCUGGGGCUUAAAAUAAUUAUCUUCUUGGGCUGUCAUGGUACCUGAAGUCUACCAUCAAAUCUGCCUCUGUGGGCUAAGACAGGAAUCUUUCCAGGGCAAUGCUUCAAAAACUCUUGGAAGACUUCCCUGAUGGUCCAGAGGUUAAGAAUCCUUCUGCUAAUGCAGGGGCAUGGGUUAUAACCCCGGUUCAGGAAGAUCCCACUUGCCAUGGAGCAACU